CUCAACCCUGUCCCCAUCUGGGGCCUCUUUCUCUCUCCUCUGAGUCUCAGCUGAGUGGGACAAGCAAACAUGCUGCUGCUGGCAGCACUUGUGGCCACCGCUGCUUGGUCUGAUGUAUUUGCACAGGAAAUUCCCAUACAGACACCUGUAUCCAUCACCAAAUCGCAAGGAAGUACACGUCUGAAAUGUCAUUUUAAAGACGUCUCUCAAGAUUUUGAUAACACCAUCAUUCACUGGUACCAACAGAAGGUGAAUAAAGCUCCAGAGUGGAUGUUCUACAUUUCAACAGGGACAACAGCAGUGGAUGAGAGCUUCCAAGGACGCAUGUAUACAGUUGAAAGGAUUUCUAGACAGAAAAUUUGUACUCUUACAAUAAGCAAUAUAAUUCCAGAUGACACAGCUACCUACUAUUGUGCCUACUGGGUUGCUCACUAUGGCAGAAACCCAGCGAUCACCUCGACCAAUACUCCCUCGGUGGCUCAACCACAAAUGAUUUGA